rnacentral:rRNA from 1 species
UAGCAUAAUCAUUUGUUUUUUAAUUGGGGGCUGGAAUGAACGGUCUAACAAAAUUUGUUGUUUCGCGUUAAGUUGGUAAUUUACUGUUUAAGUAAGAGCGCUUAAAUGUCUUUGUGGGACGAUAAGACCCUAAAAGUUUUAUGGGGUGUUAGGUUUUGGUAUAAAAAAUAUGGUAAUUUAGCUGGGGUAGUAGUUGUAGUUUAUCUGCAGUUGCGUGCGGUAAAAUAUUAUGUGGUCUUUUAUAUGAGGAUGUCUAGAGAAAGUUACUUUAGGGUUAACAGCGUGAUAUAUUCUAGGAGAACUUAUUUAUGGGUUUGAUUGCGACCUCGAUGUUGAAUUAAAAAUUCUUUUUGGCGCAGUAGUCUGAUGGGAAGGUUCGUUCAACCUUUAAAGUUUUACGUGAUUU